GGCGGCAGUAGCGCGGUGGUCCCACCUGACCCCAUGCCGAACUCAGAAGUGAAACGCCGUAGCGCCGAUGGUAGUGUAGGGUCUCCCCAUGCGAGAGUAGGGAACUGCCAGGC
rnacentral:rRNA from 1 species